UCUCCUACGGGGGGCAGCAGUGGGGAAUAUUGGACAAUGGGGGGAACCCUGAUCCAGCGACGCCGCGUGAGUGAAGAAGUAUUUCGGUAUGUAAAGCUCUAUCAGCAGGGAAGAAAGAAAUGACGGUACCUGACUAAGAAGCCCCGGCUAACUACGUGCCAGCAGCCGCGGUAAUACGUAGGGGGCAAGCGUUAUCCGGAUUUACUGGGUGUAAAGGGAGCGUAGACGGCUGCGCAAGUCAGAAGUGAAAGCCCGGGGCUCAACCGCGGGACUGCUUUUGAAACUGUGUAGCUAGAGUGCAGGAG
rnacentral:rRNA from 1 species